AUUGAACGCUGGCGGCAGGCCUAACACAUGCAAGUCGAGCGGUAUAGAGGUGCUUGCACCUCUUGAGAGCGGCGGACGGGUGAGUAAUGCCUAGGAAUCUGCCUGGUAGUGGGGGAUAACGCUCGGAAACGGACGCUAAUACCGCAUACGUCCUACGGGAGAAAGCAGGGGACCUUCGGGCCUUGCGCUAUCAGAUGAGC
rnacentral:rRNA from 1 species